UCAGAUAGCGCGUGGAGGAAGGAAUGAAUGAAGAGGAUGAUGAUGAUGAUGGAGAGAGAAAGAGACAGACAGAUAGAUGGAUGGAUAUAGAUGGAGACUGAGAUAGGUAAAGAUAAAGUGGUGUAUCUAAGCCCGUAUGUUGAAGCAGCUGUGAGACUGACAACUCAACUUCAUUAUAACUCAGACAGAGAGACCUGAGGGUUUGGAGAAUGAUGGGAUUUGGCAGUUCAUGUUUGGAGCCACAGGCGAGCCCUGAGCCACUGCAGAUGAUAGUUUUAAUUGCUUUCAAUCUUUCAGCCACUGGCACCAAGCCCUGGUGUGUGUGUGUGUUUGUGUGUGUGUGUGUGUGUGUGUGUUUGGUGAAGAAAACCUGUGCGUAUCUGUGAUGAUGUCUGAUAGAACACAGUGUUUAUUCUACUAAGGAAUAAAAUAUCAGAUUGUAGAGAAUAA